AUCUCUUGAGUCCCUGGGGAUGCAGACACCCCGAAAUCCAGUAUCUUUGGUCUCCUGCCUUCUGCUGGGCAGGACGUGAACCAGAUCCCCAGUCCAGGAUGCAGGACCUGGGGUCCACCUCCGGUUCUCCGCCCUUAGUGGGUGGGAGGUGGGACUGCCCCUGAGAUCUCAGCAGCCACGGUCUCACUGCGGCCUCAAGUCCCCACCUAGCCAGCCACAAUUCCGGACCCGAGAUGACAGGAUCCCUCGCGCAGGCGCGCUCCAGCACAUGGCGCCCUGCUGCAGCAAGGGCCGACGGCGGCGGAGUCCGCCGCUAUCCCAUCAGCCCGGCCAGGCAGGUCCAGCUCUCACCCGCCCAGGUCGUCCCGCCUCCCCUAUCCCGUCUUGCUCUGCGGCGCAGGGGCAAGAUGGCUGCUGAGAAGCAGGUCCCAGGCGGCGGCGGCGGCGGCGGCAGUGGCGGCGGCGGUAGCGGCGGUGGACGUGGUGCCGGAGGGGAAGAAAAUAAAGAAAACGAACGCCCUUCGGCCGGAUCGAAGGCAAACAAAGAAUUUGGGGAUAGCCUGAGUUUGGAGAUUCUUCAGAUUAUUAAGGAAUCCCAGCAGCAGCAUGGUUUACGGCAUGGAGAUUUUCAGAGGUACAGGGGCUACUGUUCCCGUAGACAAAGACGUCUUCGAAAAACACUCAACUUCAAGAUGGGGAACAGACACAAAUUCACAGGGAAGAAAGUGACUGAAGAGCUUCUGACCGAUAAUAGAUACUUGCUUCUGGUUCUGAUGGAUGCUGAAAGAGCCUGGAGCUACGCCAUGCAGCUGAAACAGGAAGCCAACACUGAACCCCGAAAACGGUUUCACUUGUUAUCUCGCCUACGCAAAGCCGUGAAGCAUGCAGAGGAAUUGGAACGCUUGUGUGAGAGCAAUCGCGUGGAUGCCAAGACCAAAUUAGAGGCUCAGGCUUACACAGCUUACCUCUCAGGAAUGCUACGUUUUGAACAUCAAGAAUGGAAAGCUGCCAUUGAGGCUUUUAACAAAUGCAAAACUAUCUAUGAGAAGCUAGCCAGUGCUUUCACAGAGGAGCAGGCUGUGCUGUAUAACCAACGUGUGGAAGAGAUUUCACCCAACAUCCGCUAUUGUGCAUAUAAUAUUGGGGACCAGUCAGCCAUCAAUGAACUCAUGCAGAUGAGAUUGAGGUCUGGGGGCACUGAGGGUCUCUUGGCUGAAAAAUUGGAGGCUUUGAUCACUCAGACUCGAGCCAAACAGGCAGCUACCAUGAGUGAAGUGGAGUGGAGAGGGAGAACGAUUCCAGUGAAGAUUGACAAAGUGCGCAUUUUCUUAUUAGGACUCGCUGAUAACGAAGCAGCUAUUGUCCAGGCUGAAAGCGAAGAAACUAAGGAGCGCCUGUUUGAAUCAAUGCUCAGCGAGUGUCGGGACGCCAUCCAGGUGGUUCGGGAGGAGCUCAAGCCAGAUCAGAAACAGAGAGAUUAUAUCCUUGAAGGAGAGCCAGGGAAGGUGUCUAAUCUUCAAUACUUGCAUAGCUACCUGACUUACAUCAAGCUAUCAACGGCAAUCAAGCGUAAUGAGAACAUGGCCAAAGGUCUGCAGAGGGCUCUGCUGCAGCAGCAGCCAGAGGAUGACAGCAAGCGCUCACCCCGGCCCCAGGACCUGAUCCGACUCUAUGACAUCAUCUUACAGAAUCUGGUGGAAUUGCUCCAGCUUCCUGGUUUAGAGGAAGACAAAGCCUUCCAGAAAGAGAUAGGCCUCAAGACUCUGGUGUUCAAAGCUUACAGGUGUUUUUUCAUUGCUCAGUCCUAUGUGCUGGUGAAGAAGUGGAGUGAAGCCCUUGUCCUGUAUGACAGAGUCCUGAAGUAUGCAAAUGAAGUACAUUCUGAUGCUGGCGCCUUCAAGAACAGCCUAAAGGUGAGAGGUUGGCCUCUCCUUGUUUGCAAGCCCUGGCAGGAUAUGGAGUCAGCUGUGGAGGAGCUGUGAGGGUACAACAGCUGGGCACCACCUCAGGCUGGUCCUCCCUGGCUGCCCGUGGGACCUGGUGUAGCCCUGACUGCCCAGGAGCUGCAGGCUGUGUCACUCAUGGCUGUGCUCCAGGCCUGAGGAGGAUUUAGGUAUGAAGAAGGGAAGGCAUUUUUCUGAUUUAAAAGAAACAAAAACCACCACAGGAAAACCUGAAGUACUGCUCUCAGGCUUGACUGCACGUUGAAAUCUCUUAGGAAGAUUUUUUUCAAGGUAGAUGUCUGGGUCGCACCCCCAGAGAUUGUGGUUCUAAUCAGUGUGAGGGAUCUGAAGUGGGCCUUGGGACUUUGAAAGGCCCCUUAGUGAUUCUGACAUGCAACCAAGUGAGAAGCACUGGUGAAGCUGUCCUGCAGGGCAUGUGCAAGACCAGCAGCAGCGGCAGGGGCCUCACUAGGAAGGCAGCCUCUCAGCUCCCACCCAGAACCUUCUGCUUGUUUUUUUUCUUUCUUUCUUUCUUGAGACAGGGUCUCGCUCUGUCACCCAGGCUGGAAUGCAAGUAGCACCAUCAUAGUUCACUGCAGCCUUGAAUUCCUGGGCUCAAGUGACCCUCCCACCUCAGCCUCCUGAGUAGCUGGGACUACAGGCAUGAGCCACCAUGCCAGGCCAAUUUUUAUUUUUUUGUAGAGAUGGGGGUCUCACUAUGUUGCCCAGGCUGGCCUUGAACUCAUGGCCUCGAACUCCUGGCCUCAAGCAGUCCUCCUGCCUCUGCCUCCCAAAACCUUGAGAUUGGAGGCAUGAGCCACCAUGCUGGCCAAUAUCUGCAUUUUAACAAGAUCCCCAGGCCAUUUGGGGGUCUGUUAAAGCUAAGGAAAUGCUUGAUCUAAAGUACAGCCACAGGGCUGGAUGCAGUGGCUCAUGCCUGUAAUCCCAGCAGUUUGGGAAGCUGAGGUGGGCAGAUCACUUGAGGUAAGGAGUUCGAGACCAGCCUGGGCAACAUGGCGAAACUCUGUCUCUACAAAAAUAGAAAAAAAUAGCCAGGCAUGGUGGCAGGCGCCUGUGGUCCCAGCUACUCGGGAGGCUGAGGCAGGAGAAUGGCGUGAACCCGGGAGGCGGAGCUUGCAGUGAGCCAAGAUCGCGCCCCUGGGCGGCGACAGAGUGAGAUUCCGUCUC